UGACGACGUGCUCCGCCUCCAACAGAAG
rnacentral:piRNA from 1 species